rnacentral:rRNA from 1 species
GACGAACGCUGGCGGCGUGCUUAACACAUGCAAGUCGAACGGAAAGGCCCCCUUGUGGGGUACUCGAGUGGCGAACGGGUGAGUAACACGUGAGUAACCUACCCUUGACUUUGGGAUAACUUCAGGAAACUGGGGCUAAUACCGGAUAGGAGCUCCUGCUGCAUGGUGGGGGUUGGAAAGUUUCGGCGGUUGGGGAUGGACUCGCGGCUUAUCAGCUUGUUGGUGGGGUAGUGGCUCACCAAGGCUUUGACGGGUAGCCGGCCUGAGAGGGUGACCGGCCACAUUGGGGCUGAGAUACGGCCCAGACUCCUACGGGAGGCAGCAGUGGGGAAUAUUGCACAAUGGGCGGAAGCCUGAUGCAGCAACGCCGCGUGCGGGAUGACGGCCUUCGGGUUGUAAACCGCUUUCGCCUGUGACGAAGCGUGAGUGACGGUAAUGGGUAAAGAAGCACCGGCUAACUACGUG